GAUGAACGCUGGCGGCGUGCCUAAUACAUGCAAGUCGAGCGAGCGGACGAGAAGCUUGCUUCUCUGAUGUUAGCGGCGGACGGGUGAGUAACACGUGGAUAACCUACCUAUAAGACUGGGAUAACUUCGGGAAACCGGAGCUAAUACCGGAUGAUAUUUUGAACCGCAUGGUUCAAAAGUUAAAGACGGUCUUGCUGUCACUUAUAGAUGGAUCCGCGCUGCAUUAGCUAGUUGGUAAGGUAACGGCUUACCAAGGCAACGAUGCAUAGCCGACCUGAGAGGGUGAUCGGCCACACUGGCACUGAGACACGGUCCAGACUCCUACGGGAGGCAGCAGUAGGGAAUCUUCCGCAAUGGGCGAAAGCCUGACGGAGCAACGCCGCGUGAGUGAUGAAGGUCUUCGGAUCGUAAAACUAUGUUAUUCGGGAAGAACAUAUGUGUAAGUACCUGUGCACAUCUUGACGGUACCUAAUCAGAAAGCCACGGCUAACUACGUG
rnacentral:rRNA from 1 species